GGGACCCGCCCCCGGGGCCGGCCGGGACUUGGACGACUCUCUUUUAAUCCUUCCGGCUGGCUUCUUGAAGAGAUUUAUCUUCCUUGUUAAUUCUCUGAUGGCUGGGUCUGCGUUUUACUCAUCUCUGAACUCCCUAAUCUGGAUCUUUCUCUAGAUCCGAACUUUGUACUGCCAUUACCUGCUCAUUUAUCCAUUUCGCACGGUUUUUGGUGCCCAUGAACCAGACACGAAUUGCCAGUUUAUUCAUUGAUUCAUUCGCUAACUGAACAAAUCUGUAAUAAGCACCUAACUUGGGCUAGCACCCGGCUAGGCUAGGGGGAUUCAAAAGAUGCAUAAUACAUGGCAGUUGCCCUCAAAGCUCACAGAGACGACUGUCCGUAACCAAGCAACUAUAGUUCAAUAUCUUGUGUGCCUUGUCAGGGACAGAUGCAGCCUAUGGGCGCCCCAAGGAGGAGCACCGAACCCCAGAGAGAUAUCUAAGCUGAGGCAUAAAGACACCCGAAAUUGCUGGGUGCAAAGGAGAGGACUGGCAGAGGGCACUGCAUGAGUCUAGGCAUGAGAAAACACCCUGCUAUUGCCUGGGAACCCUAAACCCAGAACCCCUAGUCUGCGCUGCUGGGCUGUCCAGGUGGGGUGGGGUGAGGUGGGGAAGAGGGAACAAAUGAGGGCACAUGAGGAUGAAGAAGUAGACAAGGCCUACAACUCCCCCACCCCCAACAGAGUUUGGACUUUGCUCUGAGGGCAUUAGAUAGUCUCUGACUGGCUUUUCCGAGGAGGUUGACCCUGUUUUGUGUUUUUAAAAGAUUGCUAAAACCAAAGCACAUACCAUUAAUACUAAAUGUGAGGCUGUUGUAGUUGUUGAGGGAAGGAUGGCAGGGAAAAGGUGAGGUAGGCUGGAGAAUGUUAGAGUGAGCUGUUCUUAACUUCACCGACCCAUUGAGAAUCUGAGGGCAGCAUGUUUCUUACGGGCGCAGGAGUCCCUAACCCUAGGAGGUCCAGGUAUGUGGUUAUCUUUGUCUUGAACUUGAAUGGAAAAUGUUAUGUGUCUGUACACAUUCAACAUUUCCCAUUUUCUUGAGCAAAUAUUUAUUGAGUACCUACCAUUGGGGAUGGAAUAGUCUCUACUCCUAUAGAGCUUACAGUCUAGUGAUGGAAUUGUCUCUACUCCAAUAGAGCUUACAGUCUAACGGAGGAGACACAUACUAAACUAAUAGUCAUACAAUACAGUGUUACAAACAGCGGGUAAGUGCAGGAAGGAAAAGGAUAGUGUUUUCUUAUGUAAUAAUAUAGUGUUUAAAAGCUGCACUGGAGUCACACUGCCUGGGUUCAAAUUCUGGCUUUGCCUCAUUAACUAGGUGACUUUGGGCAAGUCACUGUGACUCAGUUUCUUUAUCUGUACAAUGGAGAUAAUUAUAAUUUCUACCUCACUGGGUUGUCAUAAGGAGUAAAUGAAUUCUCAGCAGAAAUGCUUAGAGGAGCUCUGAACAAUAGCGCUCUCUGUGUGCGUGUGUGCUAUUAUUGUGAAAGCAUAUAACAGGAAGGAGGGAUCUAUUUUUUUCUUGGGAGUUAGGGAAGGAUUCCCUGAGAAAUUAAUGGUUAUGAGGAAACCAGAACUGUGUGUAAGGGAGAGUCAGAGAGAAGAAACCUGAGCAGAGGGAAGAACCUGUGCAAAGGGCCUAGGGCAGAAGGUACAGCUGAGAGAAUAGACACAAAAAGGCCUUUGUAGCAUAGUCCGGAGGGAGAGCAGGGGGACUGGGGAGUGUAGAAGGUGGGCAGAGGGCAGACUCCAUGUGAAGGAUUGGCCACAUCAGGGUUUUUUUUCCUCCAUCCUAAGAGCCAUUGGAAGCCACUGACGGUGUAAGCCCAAGAGGUACAGGAUGAAAUCUGAAUUUUACUGUGACCUGUGUGCCUGCCCAGUGGAGAGUGGAGUGUGUCUGUCACCACAUGCAGAUGUUGAGAAGGUUCUUGGAAACCUGGGUUUGGACGUGGCGUGGAGGUCUGGGCUAGAGAUGAAGAUGAGAAGUUGUCGAUAGACAGAUGAUAAUUGCGGCUGUGGAUGAGGAGAAGCUUACCCAGGGAGAAGAAUGUGGAGAGAGAAGAGAGAUGGCCCAGGAUGAAGUUUUGAGGUACAUCUACAGAUUAGGGCUGUGUACAAAAGGAUCUGCCUGCAAAGGCUGAUCAGGAGUGGCUGGACAGCUUGGAGAAAGCCCAGGAGAGUGGGCUUAUGGAAGGAGGCCAAGGGAGACAUUUUAGAAAGCUGGGAAGACUUGAUGG
rnacentral:lncRNA from 10 species